rnacentral:rRNA from 1 species
AUUGAACGCUGGCGGCAUGCCUUACACAUGCAAGUCGAACGGCAGCAUGAUCUAGCUUGCUAGAUUGAUGGCGAGUGGCGAACGGGUGAGUAAUACAUCGGAACGUGCCCUGUAGUGGGGGAUAACUAGUCGAAAGAUUAGCUAAUACCGCAUACGACCUGAGGGUGAAAGUGGGGGACCGCAAGGCCUCAUGCUAUAGGAGCGGCCGAUGUCUGAUUAGCUAGUUGGUGAGGUAAAGGCUCACCAAGGCGACGAUCAGUAGCUGGUCUGAGAGGACGAUCAGCCACACUGGGACUGAGACACGGCCCAGACUCCUACGGGAGGCAGCAGUGGGGAAUGUUGGACAAUGGGCGAAAGCCUGAUCCAGCAAUGCCGCGUGUGUGAAGAAGGCCUUCGGGUUGUAAAGCACUUUUGUCCGGAAAGAAAUGGCUCUGGUUAAUACCUGGGGUAGAUGACGGUACCGGAAGAAUAAGGACCGGCUAACUACGUG